UACAGAGGGUGCGAGCGUUGUCCGGAAUCACUGGGCGUAAAGGGCGCGUAGGUGGCGCUGCAAGUCGGUGGUGAAAGCUCGAUGCUUAACAUCGAGUCGGCCAUCGAAACUGCAGGGCUCGAGCACUGUAGGGGCAGAUGGAAUUCCGGGUGUAGCGGUGGAAUGCGUAGAGAUCCGGAAGGACACCGGUGGCGAAGGCGGUCUGCUGGGCAGUUGCUGACACUGAGGCGCGACAGCGUGGGGAGCAAACAGGG
rnacentral:rRNA from 1 species